GCAUUAGUCGAUGCCCCGGUAGCUCAGAGGUAGAGCUCCUGCAUAUAGCGAGCAAAAGCGGGAGGUUGCAGGUUCGAAUCCCGCCUGGUGGCUA